rnacentral:lncRNA from 1 species
CCCAUCCAGGUGGGGGGUAACAGUCAGUAAGUCAGGUGUUGUCCUUCCCUCUAACCUCUCCCAUCCAGGUGGGGGGUAACAGUCAGUAAACCAGGUGUUGUCCUUCUCUCUAACCUCUCCCAUCCAGGUGGGGGGUAACAGUCAGUAAGUCAGGUGAUGUCCUUCCCUCUAACCUCUCCCAUCCAGGUGGGGGGUAACAGUCAGUAAGUCAGGUGUUGUCCUUCCCUCUAACCUCUCCCAUCCAGGUGGGGGGAGACAGUCAGUAAGUCAGGUGAUGUCCUUCCCUCUAACCUCUCCCAUCCAGGUGGGGGGUAACAGUCAGUAAGUCAGGUGAUGUUCUUCCCUCUAACAUCUCCCAUCCAGGUGGGGGUAACAGUCAGUAAGUCAGGUGUUGUCCUUCCCUCUCCCAUCCAGGUGGGUAACAGUCAGUAAGUCAGGUGUUGGGCUUCCCUCUAACCUCUCCCAUCCAGGUGGGGGUAACAGUCAGUAAGUCAGGUGAUGUUCUUCCCUCUAACAUCUCCCAUCCAGGUGGGGGUAACAGUCAGUAAGUCAGGUGUUGUCCUUCCCUCUCCCAUCCAGGUGGGUAACAGUCA